rnacentral:snRNA from 1 species
AAGCAACAAUACAGAGAUUAGCAAGGCCCCUGAGCAAGGAUGACACACAAAUUCGUGAAGCAUUCCAUAUUUUA